UGUGUUUAAAAGAAAUGGGGCAUAAACUCAAUCUGCAGAAAGGAUUGCUGGCUGCUUUUCAUCAAUGUCUUCCUCUAAAGGGUUAUUCAUAAAGGAGAAUUAAUUAUAUUAAGCACACAGGAAAAAUCAGCCUUGAACAUAUACACAUAAUUGACUAACUAGCUGAACAUGUAGAAGCAGAAAACAGGCAAGGAUACAAGGAAAUGCUGAAGAAGCAUUCCUGAAAUACAGGUUUUGUUUUUGUUAUGAAAAGUCACCAGUACAGAUUCCCACCUGUUAAUCAGUAAAGCAGGGCAACGACCUUGUCAACAAAGCAAAGGAUUCAAAAAGAAAGAGCCAACCUUCAACUAUCCAUGUAAAUGGAAGACAAAACUACUGAAGAUAAAAUUGAUACCCCCAAGAAAAUUCCAAAUCUACACUGAAAUCAACUACUUUCAUUCCCUAAGUAUUUUUCAUAGAAAUUCCAAGUUAUGUAAUGUAUUCCAGAAUAUGCUACUCAUUGGAAACGGUGAUAGAAAUUUGAAAUUGCUCUGAGUUCAUAAUGAAGAAUGACCAACAUCUAUUAUUCAUCAAAUGAAAUUCUCCACUAAACAAAAUCCUGACCUUUGUGAAAGUGCUUCUUUAACUUUGUAACUAAUGCAAUAACCACAUGACCUUUGGUGCUCAAAAACCCUUGAGUGGCUCUCUACAACUUCUGCAGAUUCUUAAGAGUUGGGUACAUGAAAUAGCUAUUUCUAGGUAAAGUCAACCAGGCCAGUGUGAAAAUAAGGUUUGAUAAAUUAUUUCUUCCAGUAUUAGAGUUUAAAUAUGAAUUUCUAGGAUCUUCCUGAUUUUCACCAUUGUAGCAAAUUUAUAUGCUUGUGUUAAUUUGUGAGAAUUUUAAUCUGUACAUUAUCAAUAUGUAAUUAAAUUCUACUUGGUUGAAUUAAAUCUGUUAGAUAAUUUGGGACAGACAUCAAAUUUGAAUGGCAUUUUUACUAAGUUGAUAGUUGUUUUACUGACAUGGCUGGCAUUGGAUACAAACAAAAUCUCCCUAGUGACUGUAAGAUAAUUUUUAAUACAUUGUACUUCAUUUUGUGUCAAGCCAAAUCUUAUUUAACUAGCUAUUGCAUAUCUAGUGACAACAGCAGGCAUCAUUUGAAUUCAAAAUCCAACAUUGUCCCACACAUGAAAUACUUUAUCCUUUACCUUUAACAUAACUGUAGACUUUGGAUCAAAACAAAACGUGCAUAUAUGUAAAAAUAUUACAAAUUUUUUUGUAAAGACUUUUUUAAGUAACUGAAUAAAUCACAUAGAGCCAAAAAGAACUCUUUUACUGGAAUUAUUUGGUGAGUAUACACAAAUAUGAAAAUUUUAUAAGAAUUGAGACAAAUUGGUUUUAUAUGCUUUCAGAGUAAAUUUAGGAAUAAUACAUGACUGACUCAAACUUGGUCAUUGAUGGCAUACAUCCUGAAGUUUAAUUAUUGUUAUCAUUUGGCUAGUCAUAGAAGUUUUUUUUAUGGUUUAACAUUAGAAUGUAUGUGUGUUUAUGUGUACAUAUAUAUAUGUAUGUAUGUAUAUGUAUACUUUCUUUGUUCCCAUCUGCUACAGAUUUCAUUACACUACUCUUACCAAAUAAAGAAUCAUAUCAGCAUGUAUUACUUUACGAGUAGAGUCUCAAUUUCUUCAAGACAUAUACUGAGAAAGAAAGGCAACUUAACAACAG
rnacentral:lncRNA from 10 species